CCUACGGGUGGCAGCAGUCGAGAAUCAUUCACAAUGGGGGAAACCCUGAUGGUGCGACGCCGCGUGGGGGAAUGAAGGUCUUCGGAUUGUAAACCCCUGUCAUGUGGGAGCAAAUUAAAAAGAUAGUACCACAAGAGGAAGAGACGGCUAACUCUGUGCCAGCAGCCGCGGUAAUACAGAGGUCUCAAGCGUUGUUCGGAAUCACUGGGCGUAAAGCGGGCGUAGGCUGUUUCGUAAGUCGUGUGUGAAAGGCGCGGGCUCAACCCGCGGAUGGCACAUGCUACUGCGGGACUAGAGUAAUGGAGGGGGAACCGGAAUUCUCGGUGUAGCAGUGAAAUGCGUAGAUAUCGAGAGGAACACUCGUGGCGAAGGCGGGUUGCUGGACAGUAACUGACGCUGAGGCACGAAGGCCAGGGGAGCGAAAGGGAUUAGAUACCCCAGUAGUC
rnacentral:rRNA from 1 species